rnacentral:rRNA from 1 species
AAGCUCGUAGUUGAAUUUCGGGAUCAAUACGUCGGUCGUGCCUCUGGUAUGUAUUGGCGUUGUUGGUUUCUCCUUUCUGAGGAGCCAUGAUGCCAUUAAUUUGGUGUCGUGGGGAAUCAGGACUGUUACUUUGAAAAAAUUAGAGUGUUUAAAGCAGGCACACGCUUGAAUACAUUAGCAUGGAAUAAUGAAAUAGGACGUUCGAUCCUAUUUUGUUGGUUUCUAGGAUUGACGUAAUGAUUAAUAGGGAUAGUUGGG